rnacentral:tRNA from 1 species
CCUGGUGGCUCAGAGGGUAAAGCGUCUGCCUGCAAUGCCGGAGACCUGGGUUCGAUCCCUGCGUCAGGA